CAGCCUUGGUCCUCCUGUUUCUGAUGCUGUCUGUACUGCUGUUACUGUGGAGGUACUGGGGGAUCCUGAAACAAAUGAUAAGCAGUGACCAUCGACCGAGUGAGAAUCAGGAUACGGAUCAAACCUACAGUCUAAUCUCAGUUGUACCAGGUACAGUAUAUCAGUUCAUAUU